rnacentral:rRNA from 1 species
AGAGUUUGAUCCUGGCUCAGGACAAACGCUGGCGGCGUACCUAAGACAUGCAAGUCGAACGGAGCAUCGUGCUUCGGUACGGUGCUGAGUGGCGGACGGGUGAGUAACGCGUAGGAACCUGUCCUGUUGGUGGGGGAUAACGCUGGGAAACCGGCGCUAAGACCGCAUACGAGGAGGUGGUGAGAGCCACCUGCUGAAAG